CACUCCAAAAUGUCUUCACCUCGGCUCCUGUGCCUGGCAGCACUCCUGACUGUCUCUUCCACCUUUACGAUCAGGAGGACAGCAGAACAUGAAGGGUACUCCUUAGAUGAAGGGAAACCUAGGCAAGGCAUCCCUGAAAUCAAUGCAG